CGGAGGGUGCGAGCGUUGUCCGGAAUCACUGGGCGUAAAGGGCGCGUAGGCGGCAUGCCAAGCGUGUGGUGAAAGCCCGGGGCUCAACCCCGGGUCGGCCGUGCGGACUGGCGUGCUCGAGCACUGUAGGGCGGGUGGAAUUCCGGGUGUAGCGGUGGAAUGCGUAGAGAUCCGGAAGAACACCGGUGGCGAAGGCGGCCCGCUGGGCAGGAAGACGGAGCAAUCCGUCGGCUGACGCUGAGGCGCGACAGCGUGGGGAGCAAACAGGAUUAGAUACCCUGGUAGUCCACGCCGUAAACGAUGGGCACUAGGUGCCUGGGGGAGCGACCCCCCGGGUGCCGGCGCUAACGCAUUAAGUGCCCCGCCUGGGGAGUACGGCCGCAAGGCUG
rnacentral:rRNA from 1 species